GCCAUUUCAUCUGGCGAUAGUGAGGUGAAAGAAGCAGCAAGUCGGUAUUUUUGUUCAGGAGAAUAUAUGGACAGCAGCAAGUCGGUAUUAAGAAGCAGCAAGUCAGUAUUUUUGUUCAUGAGAAUAUAUUUUUAUUCAGGAGAAUAUUUGUUCAGGAGUAUAUCAGACAUCUUGAGGAACUGCAAUUUGUAUCUGCGAUGAGAGAGAAUUCCAGAUUGUACUCCUUCGAUUCCGGACUCUAGACUGGGGGGGGGGCAUUGAAAAUUGUAAAAACUUGGAGGGGAGGGGCAUCGAAAAUUCACCAAUAUCCUCAACAGGGUCUCUGUAAAAAUAUGAGGUUUUUUCAAGACAUCUUCACACCCCCCCCUAGGCAUAAUAGAUGUACUUUCCCUUAAGUCGAGAAAAUCAAAGCUGAUGUUUAUGUAAUUCAACGCAAAUCUUUUUUUUUUUUUUUUUUUUUU